GUAAAUCUAGUGUCUCUGGUGCUAUUCACAAAAGGAAGCUUUCCUCCACAAUUCCACAAACAUGGGUUGGAAUGGAAGUGAGUGCGUGUGGGAGAGGGGAAGAAGGGAAAUGAGAGAAAUGAAAUGGUGUGGGUUGAAGGAGUUCAAACCGCAUUUCGUAAUGACACUGACUACUCUUGUCUUAGCAGUUUUUAUCGUUUUCUUGCAAUCGUUGAUAUCAGGUGGUACUGUUAGCUCUGUUGUGAUUGUCUUCUAUGAGCAUCUUGUGUCCACCGUUCUCCUCUCCACUCUUGCUUUAUUUUGUGAAAGGUAUACUACUCCACCCACUUCGAUCCCCUGUUACCAUUUUUGCAUGAUUUCUGCCACCCGAAUUUCAUGAUCUCUGAUCAUUGUUUGCUGCUACUUGUAUUGCAGAGGAAAAAGACCACCUCUAACUCUCAAUAUAUGCUUCUGGGCUUUCCUAGUUGGCUUCCUACAGUAAUUAUUCUCUUACACUCUUUUAAUGUAUCUAAUUAAAUGCUGAAAUGUUCAGUUUCUCACAUGAUAUAUAUUGAUAUCAGACAGCAAAUAACUAAAAGAGUCAUUGUGUUGUACAUAAAAAUUGUUUCCAGACACCAAAGGUGGACAAGGGAUGUUUGUUCUUCUUGUCACUGUUAAAAUUGAUAAUCUAUGCUGUCCAUAGUAGCAUUUAGAAUUCUACUAUAUACAUGGUAGAGUUCCUGGAGAUCAUUUCUAUGUACUGUAUUACAUGGUGUUACCGAUCCUUCUUGAAUUAGUAAAGUAUGCUCAUAUAUAGUAAUAUAGAAUGGUGAAGUUAAAUUGAGACUGCAGCUCAAUCAUAACUUAAUUAUGGUUGAUAAUUCGUUGAAAAAUAUACAGACACCCCAAAGAAAAACUCUGUUUCUCGAUCUCUGGAAACAUGUCUGUCCACAUUUUCUUCUCUCAACUCCCUCUUUUUAUUUCUCCCACAACUUUUGAUAA
rnacentral:lncRNA from 1 species